GACGAACGCUGGCGGCGUGCUUAACACAUGCAAGUCGAACGGAAAGGCCCUGCUUUUGUGGGGUGCUCGAGUGGCGAACGGGUGAGUAACACGUGAGUAACCUGCCCUUGACUUUGGGAUAACUUCAGGAAACUGGGGCUAAUACCGGAUAGGAGCUCCUGCUGCAUGGUGGGUGUUGGAAAGUUUCGGCGGUUGGGGAUGGACUCGCGGCUUAUCAGCUUGUUGGUGGGGUAGUGGCUUACCAAGGCUGUGACGGGUAGCCGGCCUGAGAGGGUGACCGGCCACAUUGGGACUGAGAUACGGCCCAGACUCCUACGGGAGGCAGCAGUGGGGAAUAUUGCACAAUGGGCGGAAGCCUGAUGCAGCAACGCCGCGUGCGGGAUGACGGCCUUCGGGUUGUAAACCGCUUUCGCCUGUGACGAAGCGUGAGUGACGGUAAUGGGUAAAGAAGCACCGGCUAACUACGUG
rnacentral:rRNA from 1 species